rnacentral:rRNA from 1 species
CCUACGGGGGGCUGCAGUGGGGAAUAUUGCACAAUGGGCGCAAGCCUGAUGCAGCCAUGCCGCGUGUGUGAAGAAGGCCUUCGGGUUGUAAAGCACUUUCAGCGGGGAGGAAGGCGGUGAGGUUAAUAACCUCAUCGAUUGACGUUACCCGCAGAAGAAGCACCGGCUAACUCCGUGCCAGCAGCCGCGGUAAUACGGAGGGUGUAAGCGUUAAUCGGAAUUACUGGGCGUAAAGCGCACGCAGGCGGUCUGUCAAGUCGGAUGUGAAAUCCCCGGGCUCAACCUGGGAACUGCAUUCGAAACUGGCAGGCUAGAGUCUUGUAGAGGGGGGUAGAAUUCCAGGUGUAGCGGUGAAAUGCGUAGAGAUCUGGAGGAAUACCGGUGGCGAAGGCGGCCCCCUGGACAAAGACUGACGCUCAGGUGCGAAAGCGUGGGGAGCAAACAGGAUUAGAUACCCGUGUAGUC